GGAAUCCUUGCCUGAGAAGGCGGGAGUGCUCGAAAGAGAACCGGCGCACAGGUGCUGCAUGGCUGUCGUCAGUUCGUGUCGUGAGAUGUUGGGUUAAGUCCCGCAACGAGCGCAACCCUUGUCCUUAGUUGCUACGCAAGAGCACUCUAAGGAGACUGCCGGUGACAAACCGGAGGAAGGUGGGGAUGACGUCAAGUCCUCAUGGCCCUUAUGGGUAGGGCUUCACACGUCAUACAAUGGUCGGAACAGAGGGUUGCCAACCCGCGAGGGGGAGCUAAUCCCAGAAAACCGAUCGUAGUCCGGAUUGCACUCUGCAACUCGAGUGCAUGAAGCUGGAAUCGCUAGUAAUCGCGGAUCAGCAUGCCGCGGUGAAUACGUUCCCGGGUCUUGUACACACCG
rnacentral:rRNA from 5 species